UAGUACCUAGCGACAAAGUUCAUACAUACACUAUAUUGUACUAAUUUGUGUGACAAUAUUAUUACAUCCUAUUUAAAUAAAACUAUUAAUACAAGUAAAUUAUGUUUUACAGUAUGAUGGUAGUUGUCUGAAGUCAUAAAAAGCUUAUCGGUAUGCUUAUUCAUUAGAGCGGUUCGAUUCCUGAAACUAUCUCUAGUCUGAUUAAGUGUGGUAACAGUUUUAAGAUGAGUCAAAGAUUCUGGUUGAACAGUUCUCCUUCGACACUAACUGGAAGAAAUAAUUGUUUUAUCAUUUGUCUAAAUAGACUAGCUAGAAUGUGACCAGAGGAAGAUUAAAUGGACAUAUCAUAUAUUUCUCCAUGGACACUGUAAUCCAUGAUGGAUUUUUGACACUAUAUUUGAAUAUUUGUUGUUGAAGUUAAUUGGAUUUUGUGCAAAACCCCUGGAAGAAUAUUCUGUAUCAGACUAACAGUAUAAACGCCACCCAGUAUUUCAGUUUACCUGCUGUUAAACAUCGUAGUAUCAUCUCCAAUCUCUUUAUAUUUUGUUUAAUUUUAUUUAAAAAAGUCUCAUUAUAAUUUAUUAUUAAUCAACUGUAAUUCAGUUGUUUAUUUAUUGAAUAACUUAUUAUCCUGUCUUCAACGUCCAUAUAAACUGUACUGUAUUUAUGACCACUACACUGAUAUCUCAUUUGGCUAAAUACUUUUAAUU